rnacentral:misc_RNA from 1 species
AUCCCCGACGCGAACCUCACCAUCUUCCGGCUGCCGACCGGCUACCUGCCGGCCAGGCGGAACGUGCACGUCGCCAUCUCCGGGGAGCAGUUGGGCCGGGUGGACGUCGAUCCGGACGGGACGGUCUCCGCGGGGGUGGCUACCCCGAACACCGUGGCCAACGCCAAGUCUUGGCUCUCGCUCGACGGCAU